rnacentral:lncRNA from 1 species
UGGGUCUGCGGCUAUAACACUGAAACAGAUUCAGUCCAAGACCUCAUGGAGUGACAGCCCGUGAGGCAGAGGGACAAACAGGCUUCCUGGCUUUGAGUGUGAUGAGAGAGAUAACUAUGAUUUGCUAUGGAAGAAUGCUAAAGGGGCCCAGAAAUCAGAAAAUGCAUUCUGGAAGAUGUAAGAGUCAAAGGACUGAGUGCUGGGGUUAGGGAACAUUCUUCAUUCAUAAAUGGGGAAGGAGGAACUGUGAAGGGGAUUGAAGAAAGGACAUGUGGAGGGGUACCUUGAGGUGAAGAAAGAAAGGCUAUCUCGUGUCUUGUUAAAGUAUUUGGCUUUUAUCCUUAAGCUAAUAGAAGAUUCUAAGCAUGGAACUCUUAAUCAUGAAGACAGCUCUUGACAGAGAUUACCCUGGCUGCUGGGAGGACCAUAGACUGGAGGUGAGUCAUUG